GAUGAACGCUGGCGGCGUGCCUAAUACAUGCAAGUCGAGCGAACAGACGAGGAUCUUGCUCCUCUGACGUUAGCGGCGGACGGGUGAGUAACACGUGGAUAACCUACCUAUAAGACUGGGAUAACUUCGGGAAACCGGAGCUAAUACCGGAUAAUAUAUUGAACCGCAUGGUUCAAUAGUGAAAGACGGUUUUGCUGUCACUUAUAGAUGGAUCCGCGCCGCAUUAGCUAGUUGGUAAGGUAACGGCUUACCAAGGCAACGAUGCGUAGCCGACCUGAGAGGGUGAUCGGCCACACUGGAACUGAGACACGGUCCAGACUCCUACGGGAGGCAGCAGUAGGGAAUCUUGCGCAAUGGGCGAAAGCCUGACGGAGCAACGCCGCGUGAGUGAUGAAGGUCUUCGGAUCGUAAAACUCUGUUAUUAGGGAAGAACAAAUGUGUAAGUAACUAUGCACGUCUUGACGGUACCUAAUCAGAAAGCCACGGCUAACUACGUG
rnacentral:rRNA from 1 species